rnacentral:rRNA from 1 species
GAUCCUGGCUCAGGAUGAACGCUAGCUACAGGCUUAACACAUGCAAGUCGAGGGGCAGCAUGGAAGUGGCAACACUUCUGAUGGCGACCGGCGCACGGGUGCGUAACACGUAUCCAAUCUACCCAUGGCUCGGGAAUAGCCUUUCGAAAGAAAGAUUAAUGCCCGAUGGUCUUACGUGGAGACAUCUCCUAGUAAGUAAAGAUUUAUCGGCGAUGGAUGAGGAUGCGUCCGAUUAGGUAGUAGGCGGGGUAACGGCCCACCUAGCCUACGAUCGGUAGGGGUUCUGAGAGGAAGGCCCCCCACACUGGAACUGAGACACGGUCCAGACUCCUACGGGAGGCAGCAGUGAGGAAUAUUGGUCAAUGGUCGGGAGACUGAACCAGCCAAGUAGCGUGAGGGAGGACGGCCCUACGGGUUGUAAACCUCUUUUGUUUGGGAAUAAAGUCCGCUACGUGUAGCGGUUUGUAUGUACCAUACGAAUAAGCAUCGGCUAAUUCCGUGCC